rnacentral:lncRNA from 1 species
CGAGCUCUAUCUCGACUCUCGACCUCCUUUCUGAACCAUACUCGAGCUCCUCGUCCUCAGUCGCCGCCAUUGUUACCCUCAUCGCCUCCUUCAUCUACCUCCUCGGCUUCGUCUAGUCCUUCAUCUCACGCGCCUCCCACUACGACGACGAGGUGCUCAUCAACUGCCACUGCUGCCCUCCCCCAGCCAAACCCAAAUUCGUCCACACUGACCCCUCAUUGUGCUUCUAGGAGGACAAGGACAUCAUCCAAGCCGUUCUAAAUGGCGGCGUUCCUUCUUAGUCUCUCGAAUCGAAGCUCGGCGACUGCAAUAUCAUAGCGGCGAUUCGAUGCGAGUGGCUUCAGAGAACGACUGGGAGGUCACUGUAGGGUUUACCUCUCGAAGGUUUCGAUUACUACUCCAUUCUUGGACAGUGCUACGAGUCGCCGGUCGGAGACGAAGUA